UGGCGGCGUGCCUAAUACAUGCAAGUCGAACGGUCUUUCUAUGGAAGCUUGCUUCCACUGAGAAGAUAGUGGCGAACGGGUGAGUAACACGUGGGUAACCUGCCCAUAAGAGGGGGGAUAACAUCCGGAAACGGGUGCUAAUACCGCAUAGUUUUUCUUGAUCGCAUGAUUGAGAAAGGAAAGACGGCCUUUGUGCUGUCGCUUAUGGAUGGACCCGCGGCGUAUUAGUUAGUUGGUGAGGUAAUGGCUCACCAAGACGAUGAUACGUAGCCGACCUGAGAGGGUGAUCGGCCACAUUGGGACUGAGACACGGCCCAAACUCCUACGGGAGGCAGCAGUAGGGAAUCUUCCGCAAUGGACGAAAGUCUGACGGAGCAACGCCGCGUGAGUGAAGAAAGGGUUUUCGGAUCGUAAAACUCUGUUGUCAGAGAAGAACAAGUUGGAGAGUAACUGCUCCAGCCUUGACGGUAUCUGACCAGAAAGCCACGGCUAACUACGUGCCAGCCGCCGC
rnacentral:rRNA from 1 species